GGUGUCAUUGCUCCCCCUAGUGGACAUUCCAUAGGAAUAUAUAGAUAAUGCAGUCCAGCUGUGUGGUGUCAUUGCUCCCCCUAGUGGACACUCCAUAGGAAUAUAUAGAUAAUGCAGUCCAGCUGUGUGGUGUCAUUGCUUCCCCUAGUGGACAUUCCAUAGGAAUAUAUAGGUAGUGUGCUCCAGCUGUGUGGUGUCAUUGCUCCCCCUAGUGGACAUUCCAUAGGAAUAUAUAGAUAAUGCAGUCCGGCUGUGUGGUGUCAUUGCUCCCCCUAGUGGACAUUCCAUAGGAAUAUAUAGAUAAUGCAGUCCAGCUGUGUGGUGUCAUUGCUCCCCCUAGUGGACAUUCCAUAGGAAUAUAUAGAUAAUGCAGUUCAGCUGUGUGCUGUCAUUGCUCCCCCUAGUGGACAUUCCAUAGGAAUAUAUAGAUAAUGUGGCGCCGGGUCCUGGUUGAUUUCUCUCCUCCUCCUCCGCCUCAUCUAACCAUCAAUCUUCUAGUAUUAUUAUUAUUAUUAUUAUUAUAAGGGGAACUUCGCAUCGGCAGGAACGUUUCCAGGAAAAAAUGUCAAUGUUUUGUAUGAGAACUCCGAAUACAACACCACCGGGGAAAUAAAUCCUUUACAUGGAAAUGGUUUUUA